rnacentral:misc_RNA from 1 species
AACCAAUGUAAAGGAGGUGAUCCAAUGUCUUAUGAGAUUACGGCGCUCGAAGAUGGUCCUGGGUUUGUAGUGCAGAGCGGGAGUGAUCUCGGCUAGCACACGCCUCCCCCGGCCCUCGAGGUCGAAAUACUCAGGAAGGGCCGUCCUCAUGGGAUGGCCCU